rnacentral:misc_RNA from 1 species
CAGAAUCUAUGGGAUGUUCCAGAUUAUGCUUGUCGGAGUCCUGCAAUACAUCAUUGUUGCACUUACUGUUUUCUUUAGCUUCAAGCACUAUCUUACUGCUGCCAUGAUUAUCAGGUUUACUAUCAUCCACCGGUGUCUUUCCCUUGGGAACAGCCACUGAGACAUCACCAAAAGUAGAAUUUCCGCUACAAAUCUUUUCGUUGUAGACAUCAGUUUGUUUUUGUAAAUCUGAUCCAGCAAUAGCAUCCAAAGCUUCUCUGAUAUCAG